AGGCGGUGUCGUUAAUAGCGGCGUCGAAAGACGUUAGCGACAGAAGAAGCACCGGCUAACUCCGUGCCAGCAGCCGCGGUAAUACGGAGGGUGCGAGCGUUAAUCGGAAUUACUCCCCGUAAAGCGCAUGCAGGUGGUUUGUUAAGUCAGAUGUGUUUGCCCGGGGCUCAACCUCGGAAUAGCAUUUGAAACUGGCAGACUAGAGUACUGUAGAGGGGGGUAGAAUUUCAGGUGUAGCGGUGAAAUGCGUAGAGAUCUGAAGGAAUACCGGUGGCGAAGGCGGCGGGCUGGACAGAUACUGACACUCAGAUGCGAAAGCGUGGGGAGCAAACAGGAUUAGAUACCCUGGUAGUCCACGCCGUAAACGAUGUCUACUUGGAGGUUGUGGCCUUGAGCCGUGGCUUUCGGAGCUAACGCGUUAAGUAGACCGCCUGGGGAGUACGGUCGCAAGAUUGGGGCUCAAAUGAAUUGACAAAAGCCCGCACAAGCG
rnacentral:rRNA from 1 species